AACUAUUAGCGGUGGAUCACUCUGCUUGUGCAUCAAUGAAUAAUGCAGCUAACUGAGAUAAUUAAUGAGACUUGCAGGACACAUUAAUCAUCGACACUUUGAACGGACUUGCGGCCCCGGCCUCCUCCCGGGGCUACGCCUGUCUGAGCGUCA
rnacentral:rRNA from 1 species